rnacentral:rRNA from 1 species
AACGAACGCUGGCGGCAGGCUUAACACAUGCAAGUCGAGCGCCCCGCAAGGGGAGCGGCAGACGGGUGAGUAACGCGUGGGAAUCUACCCAUCACUACGGAACAACUCCGGGAAACUGGAGCUAAUACCGCAUACGUCCUUCGGGAGACAGAUUUAUCGGGAAUGGAUGAGCCCGCGUUGGAUUAGCUAGUUGGUGGGGUAAUGGCCUACCAAGGCGACGAUCCAUAGCUGGUCUGAGAGGAUGAUCAGUCACACUGGGACUGAGACACGGCCCAGACUCCUACGGGAGGCAGCAGUGGGGAAUAUUGGACAAUGGGCGAAAGCCUGAUCCAGCCAUGCCGCGUGAGUGAUGACGGCCCUAGGGUUGUAAAGCUCUUUCGCAGGUGAAGAUAAUGACGGUAACCUGAGAAGAAGCCCCGGCUAACUUCGUGCCAGCCGCCGCCGUAAUAC